GGAGGACCCACAGCCUUUAGCUGUGGAUCCCUGCUCCUCCUUCACUGGGGUUUCUCUUCCCUGAAGGCUUGGCUUUGACUAGCUGAUGGAGUUCAUGAAGGAGUUUCUUAGCAUCUGUUCACACUUCAGAAAACUGCAGCACACGUAUCAAUACAGCUUACCUUAAACAGGGACAACAAGAGAGACAACCGUGUACAGCGGGUCAGCUGGCUGGAGCGCGGCGGCGGCGGCAGCGGGGGCUCCUGGCACGCACCCGUCCCGCCGGGGCGGCGUGCGCUGGCCUGCCUUCAUCACAGCAUCCUCGCAGCGGCUCCUUGCGAGCGGGCUGUCAGGGGCAGGGGGGGCUGGCAAGGGAGUGAGGAGGCAGGGAAAAGUGGAAGGAGGACCUUGCCGAUGGUUAGUGGAAGGUGGCAUCUGCAGCGCAUUUUUUUUUUUUUCAGUGUCAGAUGGUAAUGGAAAGGGUGUAAGUUGCCUGAAAAGCAUCAGGGACCACCACCCUGAGCUACCCACUGCAUUUUAGCUGGAAGACCAAUUUCUUCUUACCAUUAAUAAUAAAUACAGUAAUA